rnacentral:rRNA from 1 species
AGUGAACGCUGGCGGCGUGCUUAAUACAUGCAAGUCGAACGAUGAAGUCCUAGCUUGCUAGGAUGGAUUAGUGGCGCACGGGUGAGUAAUAUAUAGUUAAUCUGCCUUGCACUGAGGAACAACAGUUGGAAACGAUUGCUAAUACCUCAUACUCCAACUUUACAUAAGUUAAGUUGGGAAAGUCUUUUCGGUGCAAGAUGAGACUAUAUCGUAUCAGCUAGUUGGUAAGGUAAUGGCUUACCAAGGCUAUGACGCGUAACUGGUCUGAGAGGAUGAUCAGUCACAUUGGAACUGAGACACGGUCCAAACUCCUACGGGAGGCAGCAGUAAGGAAUAUUGUGCAAUGGGGGAAACCCUGACGCAGCAACGCCGCGUGGAGGAUGACACUUUUCGGAGCGUAAACUCCUUUUGUUAGGGAAGAAUAAUGACGGUACCUAACGAAUAAGCACCAGCUAACUCCGUG